rnacentral:misc_RNA from 1 species
AAGUCGUAACAAGGUAUCCGUAGGUGAACCUGCGGAUGGAUCAUUACCAAUUUUAUAUAUUAGUGUGUAUGCCGCUGUCAAAGGUGGUACUACACUACUACUAUUAUGUAAACGUUGAACUAGAUCAAUUGGUGUGGAUUGCUUGGGAAUGGACGAAGCGACAAGCCUCUUCCGGACAGGCAAACCCCACACUGAUAACCCUUUUCAAUAUAAUUUACUAGUACAUACUACAAACAAACAAACAAAAGCUAUAAUAGGACUUAUAAACAGGCUGAGUGGGUAAAAUCCUCGGCUUAACAAUAUAACUAUUACAACUUUCAGCAAUGGAUCUCUAGGCUCUC